GAUGAACGCUGGCGGCGUGCUUAACACAUGCAAGUCGAACGGAAAGGCCCAAGCUUGCUUGGGUACUCGAGUGGCGAACGGGUGAGUAACACGUGGGUGAUCUGCCCUGCACUUCGGGAUAAGCCUGGGAAACUGGGUCUAAUACCGGAUAGGACCACAUUUUGGAUGGUGUGGUGGAAAGUUUUUCGGUGUGGGAUGAGCUCGCGGCCUAUCAGCUUGUUGGUGGGGUAAUGGCCUACCAAGGCGUCGACGGGUAGCCGGCCUGAGAGGGUGUACGGCCACAUUGGGACUGAGAUACGGCCCAGACUCCUACGGGAGGCAGCAGUGGGGAAUAUUGCACAAUGGGCGCAAGCCUGAUGCAGCGACGCCGCGUGGGGGAUGACGGCCUUCGGGUUGUAAACUCCUUUCGCCAGGGACGAAGCGUUAUGUGACGGUACCUGGAGAAGAAGCACCGGCUAACUACGU
rnacentral:rRNA from 1 species